GAUGAACGCUGGCGGCGUGCCUAAUACAUGCAAGUCGAGCGAACAGACGAGGAGCUUGCUCCUCUGACGUUAGCGGCGGACGUGUGAGUAACACGUGGAUACCCUACCUAUCAGACUGGGAUAACUUCGUGAAACCGGAGCUAAUACCGGAUAAUAUAUUGAACCGCAUGGUUCAAUAGUGAAAGAUUGUUUUGCUGUCACUCAUAGAUGGAUCCUCGCCGCAUUAGUUAGUUGGUAAGGAAACGGCUUACCAAGGCAACAAACCGCAGCCGACUUGUGAGGUGAGCCGGCCCAACGGGAACUGAGAACGGGUCAGGACUCCAACGGGGGGCAGAAGUAGGGAAUCUCGGGAAAGGACCAAAAGCUUGACGGACAACCCCGGCGUAGGUGAUAAAGGUCUUCGGAUCGAAAGCCUCUGUUAUAAAGAAAGAACAAAUGUAUAAGUAAAUAUGCACGUCGUGACGGUACCUAAUCAGAAAGCCACGGCUAACUACGUG
rnacentral:rRNA from 1 species